CGUGCACCAGUGGGGUCCCUCAGCCUGGCCUGCACUCUCUCGCAAUUCGGGACCCCUCGGGGGAUGUCAGAGAGCUGGUUUCGGCCCGAUCCCACAGGCCAGGCUGAGGGACCCCACUGGUGCAUG
rnacentral:pre_miRNA from 1 species